GAUGAACGCUAGCGGCAGGCUUAAUACAUGCAAGUCGUGGGGCAGCAUGAGUGAAGCAAUACAUUUGAUGGCGACCGGCAAACGGGUGCGGAACACGUACACAACCUUCCUAUAAGUGGGGAAUAGCCCAGAGAAAUUUGGAUUAAUACCCCGUAACAUAACGAUGUGGCAUCACAUUGUUAUUAUAGCUUCGGCGCUUAUUGAUGGGUGUGCGGCUGAUUAGAUAGUUGGCGGGGUAACGGCCCACCAAGUCUACGAUCAGUAGCUGAUGUGAGAGCAUGAUCAGCCACACGGGCACUGAGACACGGGCCCGACUCCUACGGGAGGCAGCAGUAAGGAAUAUUGGUCAAUGGACGCAAGUCUGAACCAGCCAUGCCGCGUGAAGGAUUAAGGUCCUCUGGAUUGUAAACUUCUUUUAUCUGGGACGAAAAAAGGCUUUUCUAAGUCACUUGACGGUACCAGAUGAAUAAGCACCGGCUAACUCCGUGCCAGCAGCCGCGGUAAUAC
rnacentral:rRNA from 1 species